rnacentral:rRNA from 1 species
UACGUGGGGGGCAAGCGUUGUUCGGAAUUACUGGGCGUAAAGGGCUCGUAGGCGGCCAACUAAGUCAGACGUGAAAUCCCUCGGCUUAACCGGGGAACUGCGUCUGAUACUGGAUGGCUUGAGAUUGGGAGAGGGAUGCGGAAUUCCAGGUGUAGCGGUGAAAUGCGUAGAUAUCUGGAGGAACACCGGUGGCGAAGGCGGCAUCCUGGACCAACACUGACGCUGAGGAGCGAAAGCCAGGGGAGCAAACGGG